ensembl:lncRNA
UUUGGUAAAUUAAGUGAAAAUGCCUCUUACCUCUAUGCCCAAAAACAUAAAGGUCAAACAGACACAUAGGAGAACUGUCCCGGUUAUCUUCAUCUUGGUCUUCUUGGUAAAUUCUCUUUGUACUUUAUGGCUGCUCACACCUUUCUGGCUCACCUUUUAUACCUGACAACUCCCAGUAGUACUGAUGCUGAUAACAGAGAAAAAAAAACCAUGCCCUGUUAUAUACUCUGGUGCACUUUCAUAAUGCCCUAUAUGACAGGAAACUAAAUGUGUUUCGUGUGUAAAAAAGAGUAACAAUGUGAGGGAAAACUGCUUCCACUGCACUUUGUUAAAAGUAGAAUCAUAUGCUUCUCCUAAAGCUAAGGUUAAUAUUUGUUUUUGGGUUUUUUUUUAUAACACGGUGACUGCUUCCUGAUACAACUCUGAACCUGCUGAAAUGAUGCUGAAGGAUGCGGAAACACAUUGUUCUGACCCCCACUUUCUCAGUAGUGUCAUAUUACAGGAGAUAUUAUGCUACCAUGUGUCCAUGUAUUUUGUGAAAAGUUAUGCUAAUAGGUUGGGUGUUUUGGGUACAGUUUUGGCUAUACUCACUGUGUAAAAAAUUUUUUUUCAUGAAAGAAUAAACCUGUAUCACAAAAUUUGCAGGGCUUAGUUAUGGUACAAAAAAGUUUGUUUUUUUUUUUUUGUAGCAGUUGUAUUUGUUUUAUAUUACUAAGGAUGGAUCACAUGAGGACUUGUGUGAAGUUAGAAGGAAAAGGGCAUCUUGAGACUUGCUAGAGACUGCUAUUUGCCACUUCUUAAAAUAACAGCUGGUUUUGUUGAAUUUGACCUUGCAUGUUCGGAAGUAUUCUAACUAACAACACAGUUCUCGGUUCUCAUCUCUUUUUAUUCAUAUUACAUUUCUAGAUUUACAACCUUGGUCUUACAUUUUUAUGAAAUCUGUCUCCUCUUUAUAUUUAACUUUCAGGCAAGGUCAGAUAAGGCAGGAAUAAACCCGAGGGUAGGUCAACAGAGAAAAACUGUGAAGCAACAAGGUCAUUCAAGGGAAAAUGAAAGUGGAAAGCUAACCAGCCCUCUGUAGUUAUUUUGAUAACACAAGAAUUCUACUUUACAAACCUUCACAUUUUGUAUUGAUUUUUUUAAAAUGGUAAAUUACUCACAUUCGAUUUCACCUUGUCUUGUUGAACUCUUGGAAUAACUGAUGCAAACAGAAAGG